rnacentral:rRNA from 1 species
GACGAACGCUGGCGGCGUGCUUAAUACAUGCAAGUCAACUUGACUUUAGAUAGCAAUAUCGAAAAGUAGGGUGGCGCACGGGUGCGUAACGCGUAGGUAAUCUGCCCUGAGGUCUGACAUAACCCGUCGAAAGGCGGGCUAACAUCAGAUGAUAUAUAGUCACGACAUCGUGGAAAUAUCAAAUCUUCGGAGCCUUGGGAUGAGCCUGCGUCUGAUUAGGUAGUUGGCGGAGUAAUAGCCCACCAAGCCUACGAUCAGUAGUUGGUCUGAGAGGAUGAUCAGCCACACUGGAACUGAGACACGGUCCAGACUCCUGCGGGAGCAGCAGUAAGGAAUAUUGCUCAAUGGGGGAAACCCUGAAGCAGCAACGCCGCGUGAAGGAUGAAA